GAUCCUGCUCAGGAUGAACGCUAGCUACAGGCUUAACACAUGCAAGUCGAGGGGCAGCAUGAACUUAGCUUGCUAAGUUUGAUGGCGACCGGCGCACGGGUGAGUAACACGUAUCCAACCUUCCCGUUACUCUGGAAUAGCCUUUCGAAAGAAAGAUUAAUACCGGAUAGUAUCGAGAGAUUGCAUGAUUACCCGAUUAAAGAUUCAUCGGUAACGGAUGGGGAUGCGUUCCAUUAGG
rnacentral:rRNA from 1 species